GAAGCCAUGUAAGUACUUUGACACUGGUAAAGGAAGUUGCCCUUUUGGAUCAAGCUGUUUCUAUAAGCACGCCAAUCCUGAUGGUUCUAUAGCUAAAGUGAACUUACGCCGUUACAACAACAGUAAAGGAGAAAGUUUGAUUGUGAACUCGUCGAGUCUUUGGGAAUUCAUCGAAGCAAGAGAUGGUGUAAGUUUGGAGGAAUUACUUGAGAGUCUGUUUGAAUAGAAACAAUCAAAUCAACGUCUUUCAAGCGUUUUUGCAUGCGAUGCAAAAUUAUUCGGCCCUAUGAUCGACACCAAGGAAAUUUAAUCAUCAAUUGUAUAUUCUUCUUCGAGAACAUUUGCGUGUCAUGUGAAGAACGUUACACCAUUAGUUCGAAGAAAGGUGUUGAUGUAAUAGCUGUCCUUCGCCUUUCGCUGUACGCGUGUGACUCA